rnacentral:rRNA from 1 species
UACAUUCUGGACCCGGGUUUAUCAGCCAUGGGAGGACGCUUCUCGAUAUUCCAUCCCGCACUGUUGGUAGUUGCGGGCUAGGCAAAGGUUUGGCUAGUUGAAAGACUAGCGUAAUGACUAAUGCCGGGGAAGGGAACUCUUCGGAGUGAACGAACUGGAAUUGAGGGGGGCCGAGAAAAGCCCCACAGCAUUAAUGAUAAAUUCGACCGUACUGUAAACCGACACAGGUGGGUGAGUCGAGGAGACUAAGGCGUUCGAGAGAACUCUCGCUAAGGAACUAGGCAAAUGAGCCCCGUAACUUCGGGAUAAGGGGCGCCAGCGCAAGCUGGCCGCAGCGAAGCAGCCCAGGCGACUGUUUACCAAAAACACAGGUCUCUGCUAACACGAAAGUGGAUGUAUAGGGGCUGACGCCUGCCAAUGCCAGUAGGUUAACAGGAGAUGUUAGGAGUAAUCCGAAGCAUUGAAUCGAAGCCCUGGUGAAUGGCGGCCGUAACUCUAACGGUCCUAAGGUAGCGAAAUUCCUUGUCGGCUAAAUACCGACCCGCAUGAAAGGCGUAACGACUUGGGCACUGUCUCAACGAGAAGCUCGGUGAAAUUGUAGCACCCGUGAAGAUGCGGGUUACGCGCAGUAGGACGGAAAGACCCCGUGGAGCUUUACUACACCCUGUCACUGCGAAUUGGGUGUAGAUGUAGAGAGUAGGUGGGAGCUUAGGCACCAAUGGAACACCACCCUUCUACAUCUGGUUCGCUAACCGUCACCAUUAUCUGGUGACGAGACAAUGACAGGCGGGUAGUUUGACUGGGGCGGUCGCCUCCCAAAAGGUAACGGAGGCGCCUAAAGUUGCACUCAGGCUGGUUGGAAAUCAGCCGUCGAGCGUAUAGGUAUAUAGUGCGAUUGACUGCGAGACAAACAGGUCGAGCAGGGACGAAAGUCGAGCUAAGUGACCCUCUGGUGGUGCGUGGGCACGCCAGGGUUCAUCGGAUAUAAGCUACCCCGGGGAUAACAGGCUGAUCUUGCCCGAGCGCUCACAGCGACGGCAUGGUUUGGCACCUCGAUGUCGGCUCGUCUCAUCCUGGGGCUGUACACGGUCCCAAGGGUUCCGGAGUUCACGGAUUAAAGAGGCACGCGAGUUGGGUUCAGAACGGCGUGAGCCAGUUCGGUCCCUAUCCACUGCGCGCGGAGGAAAUUUGAGAGGACUCGCUCCUAGUACGAGAGGACCGGAGUGAACCGACCUCUGGUGUACCUGUUGUGCCGCCAGGCGCAUACGCAGGGUAGCCACGUCGGGUCGUGAUAAGCGCUGAAAGCAUCUAAGCGCCAAGCACACCUCAAGAUGAGAUUUCCCAUCGAAAGAGUAAGGCCCCCGGAAGACUACCGGGUUGAUAGGUCGCAGGUGUGAGCGCAGUAAUGUGUUAAGCUGAGCGAUACUAAUUGGCCGAGGGU